CGGGACCCGCCCCCUAAGGCGGAGGAGGAACUGGCGCUGGCAGAAAAAAGAAGCUGGACUCUGGGCUUGAAAAAUGAAAAAUAAAAAGCGUAGUCUUUUUAUUCGCGGCCGCAGCUCCCGCUUUUCUCAGCACGCGCACGACUUCCCGUCGCUUUCCCCAACACCCACUGUGUCCCCACAACUCGGGAUCGAACCCUUACCGGCAUCUUGGCGGCGCCGGGGUUUGGACUCAGAGGAGCAAGAUCUAGUUAAAGCGCGGCGCUUCCGGUCUGGGGACCAGGGCGGAGUAGGCGGAAGUGAGCCGGAAGCGGAGGGCAAGAGGAGGACGUGACGUUUCCGGCCUUGCCCUCCCGCCGCCGACUGCUGCGGCUGCAGGGAUCAGAAGGUGCGUCAGGGGGCGUCGGAGCUCUGGGCAGGGGCUCUGAGUACCGCGCAUGUGUAAAGCGCGUGCCGACCAGGGAGGUGUUUGAGGCUUACGGUAUCCCUGGGACUAAUCACCUUUGUUUUUCCUUAAAGCUCACCUUUUCAGUGAAGAAUUAAUUCCCUAAUCACACUUUCAAAUUCAACCCCACUCCAACCCCCUGCUUUAAGUGAGAAAACCUUUUCCCCUCAGUUUUAUGAUUCUGCGUUUCCUUUUGAUGUCGUCUGUUGCCCCACCCUUGUAAAUGUUAAAAAGGCAGGGCUCUUGUCUGCUUUGUUCACUGGUAUCCCCCGCGCCGGUGACAGUCACUGUACAUUGUAAGCAUCGGUGAAUAUUUGUUGAGUGAAUGAACUCCACCGACUGCCUUCAAAAAAGGGAAGUUGGGGAGGGAAAGAGGAAGAGCUUGGCGACUGAAAUGAAGCAAGCUAAAUUAUAUCAGAACAAAUCCCCACUAUUAUGUGUUAAGUAUAAUGCACUAAUAAAAACUUUCUUUUCUUCUUC